AGUGCAAAUGAUGAUAAAACAGACAGGGACAUCAGCCACUCCAAUUGAAAUUGGAGAAUGUUGACUAUGUCUACAUGGGAAUCUCUCUGAUGCAAA
rfam:Populus trichocarpa isolate Nisqually-1 chromosome 18, whole genome shotgun sequence.